GGGGAAUGGCAGGAAUCUCUGCCAAUAUGGGAUGUAAAGGUUCAGGGNNNNNNNNNNGGGGAAUGGCAGGAAUCUCUGCCAAUAUGGGAUGUAAAGGUUCAGGGAGAAUGGCAGGGAUCUCUGCCAAUAUGGGAUGUAAAGGUUCAGGGAGAAUGGCAGGAAUCUCUGCCAAUAUGGGAUGUAAAGGUUCAAUUCACCCUGUCCAGGUACCUGGAGGGUUCCAUGCCCUGCCGGGGCUGAUUUCCUCAGGGAAGGAAAUCCUCAUGGGUGGAUUCAAGGGAUGCUUUUAAAGUGGUUUUCCUGUCUGGAGUGGGCUCGAUGGGAGGAAUCAGAGAGGGUCUGGGGGGAUUCCCUCUAACCUGGCUUUGCUUGGAAAGGAAAAUUCCCCUCUUCCCAUUGAUUUAUCUUCAGCAGGCUGCACUUCCAGAUUUCAGGCAAGGCACAGACUGGUCUCGAGGCUGGUUGUAGCCAGGAUACUCUGUGAAUUCCAGAGGGAACAAAUGCUGCUUCACUACUCCAGGAAUGCCCUUAACCCCAAAGAAGGCCACAUCUGACUGUUACAGGGUUUUUCCUCAGGAAACACCCUGAUCUGUAUUUGCCAGGUGGUUGUUGAAAAGAUCUUUGCAGUCACAGGCUGAUUUUUUUUCCCACUGUGCUGUUUGCAGGUGGAAAUAAUCUUCUUAGGGACAUCAGUCCAGGGUAUUUACCCAUCUCUAGGACAAGCCUGAAUCCUGAGGGCAUGUCCCUUGCCUGGCUUCUUCAGAAAUUCCCUAGAAAAAGGAGCAAAACUGUCCCUUACAGGAAGCAGAGGGAAAAGGAUUUGGAGCGAGCAGGAGCUGCCUCCCUACCUGAGCCAUGUCCUGCGACCAUCUGCCCAGUGGAUGUGCCAGAGCAAAGGGCCAAAAUUUGCCAGUACAGCAUAUUUUGGGAAAUUACAUCCCUGUGCCUCAUUCCUGGCUGGGGCUCGGACCUGGCCGUGCUCUCCUGCUCGGAUCAUGCCACAUUUGGGGUGUGGGUGCUGGAAAGGGGAAAUUUACAGCAGAGGACAGCAGGGGCAGGAUU
rnacentral:lncRNA from 1 species